UUCCAUCAGGGGGGGAGGAGCUGGACUGGAAUGAGGGGGCUUUCAAGGCAACACGAUAAAACACACGAUAUAAAUUAUUACUUUAUCAUGCUGUAUUCGACAAUAAACAAGUAUUAAACAUUUAUAUCGUGUGUUUUAUCGUGUUGCUUUGAAAGCCCCCUCAUUCCAGUCCAGCUCCUCCCCCCCCCUUAUGGA